ACUCCUACGGGAGGCAGCAGUGGGGAAUAUUGCACAAUGGGGGAAACCCUGAUGCAGCCAUGCCGCGUGUGUGAAGAAGGCCUUCGGGUUGUAAAGCACUUUCAGUAGGGAGGAAGGUAGUGUAGUUAACACCUGCACUAUUGACGUUACCUACAAGAAGAAGCACCGGCUAAACUCCGUGCCAAGCAGCCGCGGUAAUACGGAGGGUGCGAGCGUUAAUCGGAAUUACUGGGCGUAAAAGCGCAUGCAGGCGGCCUGUUAAGUCAGAUGUG
rnacentral:rRNA from 1 species